GCGCCCGUAGCUCAAAUAGGAUAGAGCGUUGCUUUCCGAAGGCAAAGGUUUCAGGUUCAAAUCCUGUCGGGCGUU
rfam:Glossina austeni unplaced genomic scaffold Scaffold134, whole genome shotgun sequence.